AAGUCAAAUGAGAUGGCUUGAGAUUGAGUGUGCAGGACUGAGUCAUGUAUUCAGGUGGAGUCUAGUCCCGCUAUAUUCGGAUUAGCGAAGGUCUACUGCAGGGGGGCCGGACAGCAUCACACGAGCAAAUAUUUCUGCUGAGUCAGGCAAGAUUUUUUACAUUGAGUUCAAUGUGAAAUUUGUCAACUAAAUUACUCAUUAUAAAUUACUCUUACCGGUUUCCCUCAUUUUAACUAGAAGAAUCAGUUUAUACUCAGCGUUAAUUUGAGGUUUAGUGAGCCUACAGUCUCGAGUCAAAGCCUCGUGUACAUCUAGGUUCGAGCUUUUUAGCUUCUAAGCGACAAUGAAGCUUUAACAUCAAAUCUACCUCAUUGUGUUGAGGCUGCAUCCAUGGUACAAACACAGUGCUAUCACAUCCAUGCAGGUGAGUAGACUCAGACAGACAGACAGACUGAUCGCGACUAUUAUAUACCACGUGGCGCCGCGGGUUAAUAAUGGUGAUGGUAAAAUGCCAAGCAUGUUGACAUGGAAUUGACAAAUAGUGUAGGUGCAAACAUUAGAGUUGGAUAAGUGGAAAGGCCUGAAGAAAAGCAAGUCGAAACGCCAAAUGAGCACACUUCUUUGAUAAAAAAUAGAAUUCUCAACAUUCUACUGGUUGUGAUCAAGCGGAAGGUACAACAAGCAGGAAAAAUAGUGGUAUAUUGGUGAUUUGACAAGCCCGGUUACAGAUAUUGCAGAUCAGAGCGCUACCGGUAGUGGAGUUGAUAAAAAAACGUAUUAGUUUUCCGAUAUCUUAAAUUUCAUUAUUGAUGACCUAUGCUAUUUCUGUUUAUUCUUAUUCCCAUCAACUCUGCCAUCAAAAAUGCUCCUGAACGACUCUUUAGCAUCAACCAACGUGACAUACAAUCUUUACAAUACUGAGCUUAGAUCAAAAAAUUUAUGUUCAGCACUUGUAUAUGCGUUGCUUUAAUUUUUUGCUGCAUGUUUGCUGUCCUAGCAGUGAUGACUGCAUGCAUGGUCCUGCUUAUAGUGAGUGCUGUGUUUUGGGAGUACAAUCUGUACACAUUUGGUAUAGUGUACAUGCGUGUAUGUGAAAAAAUCUUGUUAACACUUCUAUUUCAGGGUAAAUAAACAGCAGCAUUAAAGAUUUGCAAUUACAACUGGUUUGUACCACAAUAGUGUGUCGGAUAGCUCUGGCUUAUCUACUGCAUGCUCUCACACUGAGUUUCAUGCACACACACACAUGCACACACACACACACACACGCACACGCACACACACAAACUUCCCAGAGCUCAGCCAUUUCCAGUCGGACACCUUUAUUAUAUUCUCCUAUAUAGUGCCCUAGUGGCUGAGUUACAUUAUGACUCGGGCGGGGAUUACGGGAAUGGAUGGUGAGGGGUAUGCAGCUGCUCAAUUUUCUAGAGAGAGAGAAAGAGAGAGUGAACUAUCGUUUUUUGUGGCUCAAAUUGUUGGUAUUCCACUCACAAGUACACCCUCAACAGGUUCACUAUCACCACUGGAGAGGACAGUUGUUCCCAGUGUUACGAUUUGCUUGUCAACGAAGUGAUUAUAAGCAACAAAAACCGUUAUAAUCUCCAAAAGGUUUUCUUUCCUGCAAACUAUUCUGACCCUGUGUUUGUAAGGGUUACCUAUCAUUUUACUCAAAACCCAGACGGUCCUACAGACUAUUUGGAGGAAGGUUCAACUCAAGUAUAGUUUUGGACGGAAUCGACAUUCUAUCUCUUCCAACCAAUAGCAAGUUUGCAGUUCACUUCUCUCCUGUUUUCUGACACAACGUUAAGUUCAAAUAAAAUCGAUUUGUAUUUACAGCCAAGUUGUGAAAACAGUAGUAUCGAUAUGAUGCAGCUACUAACUCAAAGGUUAAAGUCGUAUACAGCUAUGCAAACUAUUGCUGCUCCAAUUAGCGAUGAUUACGAUGCAAAAGGAGAGAGCUUAGAAACAUUGUUAAAGUUUCACAAUGGUAGUUAUAUCGAUGGAGGUCAACAUCUUAGCUAUUAUACAUUUGCUUUCCACUUUGUAUUCCCAUUUCUUGGAGUUUUGUUCGUUGCGAAUCUGCUACAUCAUUUUGUAGAAAACAAUAAACUUAUUUUUGUGAGGAGUGACAAGUCUGCAGACAAUGACAGCCAUGGUCUGGGAGAGUUAAAGAUUUCAACUGUCAAUAUGACUGUAUAUAUCAGUGUAACUUGUUGUUUUCUUUUUGUGCUUUUUGUGAUUGUACUUGAUUGCAUUGGAGUCAAUAAACGGGUCUUCUUUGUACAAGACGAAAUUUAUUAUUUUCCCGAAGCAAAGAGUGGAAAUGAGUCAUCUGUAAUGACUCUAAUCCUGGAAUUUAGUGUACCUGGUUUGAUGCUUGCUGAAGAUUUGCUUGUACUCGUUUUAAUGUUUUUGAUGUGUAUACGCAAGUUGUGUACUCGUACUAAAUCUACUGAUAAACAGUGUUGUAAAGGAUGCAGCUGCUUAGGACAGUCGUGCAAGUUGUCUUUAGGAUCCAACAAGAAGUGGUACAACAUUAUAAUGGGGCCAAUUUCUUGCUUGCUUAUCCAUUCAUAUCAUAUCCUGGUGGGAUUCAUUCAUACACCACACCAUGCAACAAGCAUGCUGGUUUUCUACGGACUUAUGAUUGUUACUUUUAUCUUAACAUUAAAGGCUGCCUAUUAUAACUUAUUUAAGUUGUACCAAUGGCACCAGAGGCAGUCCACAUGUAACUGUAUUUGCAGGAUAUUGUUUUGUCUUUGGCCUUGUGUUAUCGAUGAGGAUGAAGGUCAAGGGACAAUCGUGGAGAAUGACAGUGAAGGGACAAUCACGCGCGAGUGGAAUGAAGAGCGUGAGAGGCAAUCCCGAUGUAACAAAAUCUGCAGAGCAAUAGUUUGCUGUUGUCCUAUUAUGAAGGAAGAGGAAAGUACUCAGACGGGUGAAAGUAAUCAGGUGGAUAAAGGUAAAUGCUGUUAUUGCCCUUUUGUUAUUAAAAAGAAAGAAGAUGAGGAAGCUAAUUGCAUCAAAAGGUCUAAAACUAAAUGUGCACGCUGUUGUUAUUCAAGUUUCUUGAUUUUUUGUUUCUAUUGGUUUUGCCGGACUAAAAACAAUCAACAUUGUUGUGCCCUACUGCUCAUCUUUGGUUUGUCUAUCUUGACAGGCUUGGUUUUUGUUUAUAUAGCAUUCCUGUUUAUCUUAGUGCCAAUCAACCACGUUAUUGAUGAUGCACCAGCACGAAUCCUCAGCAUCAACCAGACCAUAGUUAUUCUCUUUGGAGCUGCCAUAACUUACAAGAUUUACCAAGAUAGGAAGUUUGAGACGUUUCUCGACUACUUGGUGAGAGCUGUCACCAAUAAAGAUAAAAUAGAAGAUCGUCACUUCAAGGACAUUAAAACAGACGCCUGGGAAAAGAUGAGCCGUAAUGAGAGACGCAAAGAAGUGGCUUACGUUGCUCUUAGUGCUAUGUAUGAAACAGCCAAAGUUAUACCUAACAACGCAGGGUGACUGAUUGAACACUUAAAAACGCUAUUGAAGUACAAUGGCUAUAGACUACUACUGAUUCGAAUCGUAUAGAAACUCUUUUUAACUAUGUGUUUUAAGUGUGUUGUCACUCCAUAAUAGCUGUUCUAGACUGUACUUGUAGCCUUUUGUUUAUACGGUAGUAUAAUAUAUUGUAGCUAAUUUAUCUGUCAUUCGGUUGAGAUCUGUUGCUGCAGUGUU